rnacentral:rRNA from 1 species
AUUGAACGCUGGCGGCAGGCCUAACACAUGCAAGUCGAGCGAGCGGCGGACGGGUGAGUAAUGUAUGGGGAAUGCGCGAUAGCGGGGGCUAACUACUGGAAACGGUAGCUAAUCCCGCAUACUAUGGGAUUCCACAAAUGGGAUUAGGUAGUAGGUGAGGUAAUGGCUCACCUAGGCGACGAGCCCUAGCUGGUCUGAGAGGUUGAUCAGCCACACUGGGACUGAGACACGGCCCAGACUCCGACGGAGGCAGCAGUGGGGAAUAUUGCACAAUGGGCGCAAGCCUGAUGCAGCCAUGCCGCGUGGAUGAAGAAGGCCCUAGGGUUGUAAAGUACUUUCAGUCGGGAGGCGUUACCUACAGAAGAAGCACCGGCUAACUCCGUGCCAGCAGCCGCGGUAAUAC